CUCUUUCUUUGCAUUGUUCAUUUAAGAAGGCCUUUUUAUUUCACUUGCUAUUCUCUGGAACUCUGCACUCCGUUGGGUGUAUCUUUCCCUUUCUCCCUUACUUUGUGGUUCUCUUCUUUCCUCAGCUAAUUGUAAAACCUCCUCUGACAUACUCUGCCUUUAAACGUCCCCCUUACCCCCCGCCGUCAGUUUUCCUUUUAGGCACACUUACAAACAAGUCACGGAAAUACAGUGAAGUUCUCAAGGGAAAGGUACAUCAGGGCAUCUUCCCAACCAAGGGAUCAAACUUGUGUUUCUUUCGCCUUAAAUGUGUGGUCUGUCUCUCAAGCUUUUGGACUGAGAUGUCUCAUGAAGGCAGAAGAUCCCACAGCCCAGGAAAAUCUACUGACCCAGUUUCCCAAGGAGAAAACUCACAGACAUCAAGGAGGGGCUCCGUACAUGAAAAUGUGAGUAUAUGAUGGUUCCAGGUGGCACAGAGGUAAAGAAUCUGCCUGCCAAUGCAAGAAAUUCGAGAGAUACCCAAUGUUGAAUUCAUUGCCUGGGAUUCACAGAAGAAAAG
ensembl:lncRNA